rnacentral:rRNA from 1 species
GACGAACGCUGGCGGCGUGCUUAACACAUGCAAGUCGAACGUAAACGCCCUGCUUUUGUGGGGUGCUCGACUUGCGAACGGGUGAUUAACACGUGAGUAACCUGCCCCUGACUUUGGUUUAACCUCAGGAAACUGGGGCUAAUACCGGAUAGGAGCUCCUGCUGCAUGGUUGGGCUUGGAAAGUUUCGGUCGUUGGGGAUAGACUCGCGUCUUAUCAUCUUGCUGGUUGGGUAGUGGCUUAUCAAGGCUUUGACGGGUAGCCGAACUGAGAGGGUGACCGGAAAAAAUAGGACGGAGAUACGGCACAGACACGUACAGGAGGCAGCAAAGGGGGAGAUAAUACAAUGAGCGGAAGCCUGAUGCAACAAAGCGGCGUGAGGGGUGACAGCAUUCGGGUAGUAAACAGGAUUAGCAUGAGACGAAGCGUGAGUGACAGUAAUGGGUAAAGAAGAAACGGCUAACUACGUG